rnacentral:rRNA from 1 species
GAUGAACGCUGGCGGCAGGCCUAACACAUGCAAGUCGAACGCUCCAGCAAUGGAGAGUGGCAGACGGGUGAGUAACGCGUGGGAACCUACCCUUUGGUUCGGAAUAGCCCAGGGAAACUUGGGGUAAUACCGGAUAAGCCCUUCGGGGGAAAGAUUUAUCGCCAUAGGAUGGGCCCGCGUCGGAUUUAGCUUAGUUGGUGGGGUAACGGCCUACCAAGGCUACGAUCCGUAGCUGGUCUGAGAGGAUGAUCAGCCACACUGGGACUGAGACACGGCCCAGACUCCUACGGGAGGCUG